rnacentral:rRNA from 1 species
AGAGUUUGAUCCUGGCUCAGAUUGAACGCUGGCGGCAGGCUUAACACAUGCAAGUCGAGCGGGGAAGGGUAGCUUGCUACCUGACCUAGCGGCGGACGGGUGAGUAAUGCUUAGGAAUCUGCCUAUUAGUGGGGGACAACAUUCCGAAAGGAAUGCUAAUACCGCAUACGCCCUACGGGGGAAAGCAGGGGAUCUUCGGACCUUGCGCUAAUAGAUGAGCCUAAGUCAGAUUAGCUAGUUGGUGGGGUAAAGGCCUACCAAGGCGACGAUCUGUAGCGGGUCUGAGAGGAUGAUCCGCCACACUGGGACUGAGACACGGCCCAGACUCCUACGGGAGGCAGCAGUGGGGAAUAUUGGACAAUGGGCGAAAGCCUGAUCCAGCCAUGCCGCGUGUGUGAAGAAGGCCUUUUGGUUGUAAAGCACUUUAAGCGAGGAGGAGGCUACCGAGAUUAAUACUCUUGGAUAGUGGACGUUACUCGCAGAAUAAGCACCGGCUAACUCUGUGCCAGCAGCCGCGGUAAUACAGAGGGUGCGAGCGUUAAUCGGAUUUACUGGGCGUAAAGCGUGCGUAGGCGGCUUUUUAAGUCGGAUGUGAAAUCCCUGAGCUUAACUUAGGAAUUGCAUUCGAUACUGGGAAGCUAGAGUAUGGGAGAGGAUGGUAGAAUUCCAGGUGUAGCGGUGAAAUGCGUAGAGAUCUGGUGGAAUACCGAUGGCGAAGGCAGCCAUCUGGCCUAAUACUGACGCUGAGGUACGAAAGCAUGGGGAGCAAACAGGAUUAGAUACCCUGGUAGUCC